UCCGUAGGCGGGUAAUUAAGUCAGAGGUGAAAUCCCACAGCUUAACUGUGGAACUGCCUUAGAUACUGGUUAUCUUGAGUUUUAGUGAAGUAGAUGGAAUGUGUAGUGUAGCGGUGAAAUGCAUAGAUAUUACACAGAAUACCGAUUGCGAAGGCAGUCUACUAACUAACAACUGACGCUAAUGGACGAAAGCGUGGGGAGCGAACAGGAUUAGAUACCCUGGUAGUC
rnacentral:rRNA from 1 species